GACGAACGCUGGCGGCGUGCUUAAGACAUGCAAGUCGCACGGACCCGCAAGGGUCAGUGGCGGACGGGUGAGUAACACGUGGAUAACCUGCCCGAAUCCCCGGGAUAACAGGCCGAAAGGCCUGCUAAUACCGGGUAAGCUCACGGGGCCGCAUGGCUCUGGGAGAAAAGGCCCCGCAAGGGGUUGGGAUCGGAGGGGUCCGCGGUCCAUUAGCUAGUUGGAGGGGUAACGGCCCACCAAGGCGACGAUGGAUAGCCGGCCUGAGAGGGCGACCGGCCACACUGGGACUGAGACACGGCCCAGACUCCUACGGGAGGCAGCAGUCGGGAAUUUUGGGCAAUGGCCGAAAGGGCUGACCCAGCAACGCCGCGUGAGUGAAGAAGGCCUUCGGGUUGUAAAGCUCUGUUGCUCGUGAAGAACGGUACUUUCAGGAAAUGGGGAGUACUUGACGGUAGCGAGUGAGGAAGCCCCGGCUAACUACGUGCCAGCAGCCGCGGUAAUACGUAGGGGGCGAGCGUUGUCCGGAUUUAUUGGGCGUAAAGGGCGUGUAGGCGGUCUGUUAAGUCAGGGGUGAAACUCCGCAGCUCAACUGCGGACCUGCCUCUGAUACUGGCGGACUUGAGUACUCUAGAGGGCAGUGGAAUUCCCGGUGUAGCAGUGAAAUGCGUAGAGAUCGGGAGGAACACCAGUGGCGAAGGCGGCUGCCUGGGGAGAAACUGACGCUGAGGCGCGAAAGCUGGGGGAGCAAACGGGAUUAGAUACCCCGGUAGUCCCAGCCGUAAACGAUGAGUGCUAGGUGUAGGGGGUAUCGACCCCCCCUGUGCCGCAGUUAACGCAAUAAGCACUCCGCCUGGGGAGUACGGCCGCAAGGUUG
rnacentral:rRNA from 1 species